AUCUGCGGCCAUAGAGACUUGAAAAUACCGCAUCCCGUUCGAUCUGCGCAGUCAAGCAGCCUAGUCAUUACUGCGGUGGGGGACCACGCGGGAAUCCUAGGUGCUGCAGUUG
rfam:Tstilago maydis 521 chromosome 21, whole genome shotgun sequence.